rnacentral:rRNA from 1 species
CUACGGGAGGCUGCAGUAGGGAAUAUUGGUUAAUGGGCGAAAGCCCGAACCAGCAACGCCGCGUGCACGAUGAAGGCCUUCGGGUCGUAAAGUGCUUUUUGGAGGGAUGAGGAAGGACAGUACCUUCAGAAUAAGCCUCGGCUAACUACGUGCCAGCAGCCGCGGUGAAACGUAGGAGGCGAGCGUUAUCCGGAUUUACUGGGCGUAAAGCGUGUGCAGGCGGUUUGGUUAGUUGGAUGUGAAAGCUCCUGGCUUAACUGGGAGAGGUCGUUCAAUACUGCCAGACUUGAGGAUGGGAGAGGAAGGUGGAAUUCCGAGUGUAGUGGUGAAAUGCGUAGAUAUUCGGAGGAACACCAGUGGCGAAAGCGGCCUUCUGGCCCAUCUCUGACGCUCAUACACGAAAGCUAGGGUAGCAAACGGGAUUAGAUACCCUAGUAGUC